rnacentral:lncRNA from 1 species
CCCCCUAGUUUUUUAGUUAAACAGGAUGUUUAAUGGAAAACUAUAUAUGAUUCAUGAUAUUUAGAAUUCAAUAAAGGUCCAAGGAUAGGAAAUAAGUGAAUUAUACCCACUUUUAACAUACGAAGUGGAAUAAGGGAGGGCUGGAUAGUGGAUACCCAAAACAAUAAGCCCAAUCUGAUAAAAUAUUCAAAGGUCAUCCAAACGCAUUCCACUUGAAUUCUCAUCAUUACUGACAUUAAAUGCGUCGGCCUCGCUCCACGUGUAACCGUCAGUAUAAAAGAUAAACUUCACCAAAUUUGACGGUUUUACCUACUGAUUUGAAAUUCGAACCUUUGAGCUUUCUUCCCUUUCUCAGAAAACCUCUCUUUAGCUUUCGAAAACUCAACAAUGGUGAAUCCAAGCCAAGCCCCUUCAAGUUCUUCUCAUUCAAAC